AGUAAAGUCAGCUAAUAAAGCUCUUGGGCCCAUACCCCAAAAAUGUUGGUCUAACCCUUCCUUUACUA
rnacentral:tRNA from 1 species